rnacentral:rRNA from 1 species
UGGGGAAUUUUGGACAAUGGGCGCAAGCCUGAUCCAGCCAUGCCGCGUGCAGGAUGAAGGCCUUCGGGUUGUAAACUGCUUUUGUACGGAGCGAAAAGGUCUGCCCUAAUACGGUGGGCUCAUGACGGUACCGUAAGAAUAAGCACCGGCUAACUACGUGCCAGCAGCCGCGGUAAUACGUAGGGUGCAAGCGUUAAUCGGAAUUACUGGGCGUAAAGCGUGCGCAGGCGGUUAUGCACGACAGAGGUGAAAUCCCCGGGCUCAACCUGGGAACUGCCUUUGUGACUGCAUAGCUAGAGUACGGUAGAGGGGGAUGGAAUUCCGCGUGUAGCAGUGAAAGGCGUAGAUAUGCGGAGGAACACCGAUGGCGAAGGCAAUCCCCUGGACCUGUACUGACGCUCAUGCAUGAAAGCGUGGGGAGCAAACA